AGAACGAACGCUGGCGGCAUGCCUAAUACAUGCAAGUCGAACGAACACUUCGGUGUUAGUGGCGCACGGGUGCGUAACGCGUGGGAAUCUGCCCUUGGGUUCGGAAUAACAGUUGGAAACGACUGCUAAUACCGGAUGAUAUCGAAAGAUCAAAGAUUUAUCGGCCCAGGGAUGAGCCCGCGUAGGAUUAGCUAGUUGGUGAGGUAAAGGCUCACCAAGGCGACGAUCCUUAGCUGGUCUGAGAGGAUGAUCAGCCACACUGGGACUGAGACACGGCCCAGACUCCUACGGGAGCAGCAGUAGGGAAUAUUGGACAAUGGGCGCAAGCCUGAUCCAGCAAUGACCGCGUGAGUGAUGAAGGCCUUAGGGUUGUAAAGCUUACGUUUUACCCGGAAGUAUAAUGACUGUACCGGAGAAUAAGCUACCGGACUAACGUCCGUGUCCAGCACGCCGACGGUU
rnacentral:rRNA from 1 species